rnacentral:rRNA from 1 species
UGGGGAAUAUUGGACAAUGGGCGAAAGCCUGAUCCAGCAAUGCCGCGUGAGUGAUGAAGGCCUUAGGGUUGUAAAGCUCUUUUACCCGGGAUGAUAAUGACAGUACCGGGAGAAUAAGCCCCGGCUAACUCCGUGCCAGCAGCCGCGGUAAUACGGAGGGGGCUAGCGUUGUUCGGAAUUACUGGGCGUAAAGCGCACGUAGGCGGCUUUGUAAGUUAGAGGUGAAAGCCCGGAGCUCAACUCCGGAAUUGCCUUUAAGACUGCAUCGCUAGAAUUGUGGAGAGGUAAGUGGAAUUCCGAGUGUAGAGGUGAAAUUCGUAGAUAUCGGGAGGAACACCAGUGGCGAAGGCGGCGAUCUGGGUCGAUACUGACGCUGAGGUGCGAAAGCGUGGGGAGCAAAC